rnacentral:misc_RNA from 1 species
GUGAUUUACAUCAUCUAAUAUCUACAUACACCUGUGAACUUGUAUCUUGAAGGCCCUGUUUGGGCCCGAGAGUAUUUUUUACAAACAUUGUGUAAUGAACGUCAUUUUAUUAUAACAAUAAUA